AAGUGGAGCAAUCCAUGAGUACAGUGGCGCACUGGUGAGUAACACGUGGGUAUCCACCUCUUUGUGGGGAAUAACCUUGGGAAACCGAGGCUAAUACCGCAUACGUCCGAGAGGAGAAAGCCGCAAGGCGCAGAGAGAGGAGCCCGCGCCCGAUUAGCUGGUUGGUGAGGUAAGAGCUCACCAAGGCGACGAUCGGUAGCCGGCCUGAGAGGGCACACGGCCACACUGGCACUGAAACACGGGCCAGACUCCUACGGGAGGCAGCAGUGGGGAAUCUUGCACAAUGGGGGAAACCCUGAUGCAGCGACGCCGCGUGAGUGAUGAAGCCCUUCGGGGUGUAAAGCUCUUUCGACAGGAACGAUAAUGACGGUACCUGAAGAAGAAGCUGCGGCUAACUACGUGCCAGCAGCCGCGGUAAUACGUAGGCAGCAAGCGUUGUUCGGAAUUACUGGGCGUAAAGAGUGCGUAGGUGGUUGGCUAAGUUUGGUGUGAAAUCUCCCGGCUCAACUGGGAGGGUGCGCCGAAAACUGGCUAGCUAGAGUGUGGGAGAGGGACGUGGAAUUCCUGGUGUAGCGGUGAAAUGCGUAGAUAUCAGGAGGAACACCUGCGGUGUAGACGGC
rnacentral:rRNA from 1 species